rnacentral:rRNA from 1 species
CAUCUUAAGGCUGAGAUACGAUGUCGAGCUACUACGGUAGUGAAGUCAUUGAUGCCAUGCUUCCGGGAAAAGCUUCUAAGCUUCAGAUUAUAAGAAAUCGUACCCCAAACCGACACAGGUGAUCAGGUAGAGAAUACCAAGGCGCUUGAGAGAACUCGGGUGAAGGAACUAGGCAAAAUGGUACCGUAACUUCGGGAGAAGGUACGCUCCUAGCGGUGAUGAGACUUGCUCUCUAAGCUGCCGGGAGUCGCAGAUACCAGGUGGCUGCAACUGUUUAUUAAAAACACAGCACUGUGCAAAAUCGAAAGAUGACGUAUACGGUGUGACGCCUGCCCGGUGCCGGAAGGUUAAUUGAUGGGGUUAGACUUCGGUCGAAGCUCUUGAUCGAAGCCCCGGUAAACGGCGGCCGUAACUAUAACGGUCCUAAGGUAGCGAAAUUCCUUGUCGGGUAAGUUCCGACCUGCACGAAUGGCGUAAUGAUGGCCACGCUGUCUCCACCCGAGACUCAGUGAAAUUGAAAUCGCAGUGAAGAUGCUGUGUACCCGCGGCUAGACGGAAAGACCCCGUGAACCUUUACUAUAGCUUGGCACUGAACAUUGACCCUACAUGUGUAGGAUAGGUGGGAGACGUUGAAGCAACCGCGCCAGUGGUUGUGGAGUCAAUCUUGAAAUACCACCCUUGUAUGCUUGAUGUUCUAACGUCGACCCCUUAUCGGGGUUACGGACAGUGCCUGGUGGGUAGUUUGACUGGGGCGGUCUCCUCCCAAAGAGUAACGGAGGAGCACGAAGGUGGGCUAAUCACGGUCGGACAUCGUGAGGUUAGUGCAAUGGCAUAAGCCCGCUUGACUGCGAGAAUGACAAUUCGAGCAGGUGCGAAAGCAGGUCAUAGUGAUCCGGUGGUUCUGAAUGGAAGGGCCAUCGCUCAACGGAUAAAAGGUACUCCGGGGAUAACAGGCUGAUACCGCCCAAGAGUUCAUAUCGACGGCGGUGUUUGGCACCUCGAUGUCGGCUCAUCACAUCCUGGGGCUGAAGUCGGUCCCAAGGGUAUGGCUGUUCGCCAUUUAAAGUGGUACGCGAGCUGGGUUUAGAACGUCGUGAGACAGUUCGGUCCCUAUCUGCCGUGGGCGUUGGAUGAUUGAGAGGGGCUGCUCCUAGUACGAGAGGACCGGAGUGGACGAACCGCUGGUGUUCGGGUUGUAUCGCCAGAUGCAUUGCCCGGUAGCUAAGUUCGGAAUCGAUAACCGCUGAAAGCAUCUAAGCGGGAAGCGAGCCUCAAGAUGAGUCAUCCCUAGACCUUUAAGGUCUCUAAAGGGUUGUUGAAGACUACAACGUUGAUAGGUCAGGUGUGUAAGUGCUGCGAGGCAUUGAGCUAACUGAUACUAAUUGCCCGUGAGGCUUAACC